rnacentral:rRNA from 1 species
GACGAACGCUGGCUGCGUGCUUAACACAUGCAAGUCGAACGCUGAAGCCUGGUGCUUGCACCGGGUGGAUGAGUGGCGAACGGGUGAGUAACACGUGAGUAACCUGCCCCUGACUUCGGGAUAAGCCCGGGAAACUGGGUCUAAUACCGGAUACGACUGCCGGACGCAUGUCUGGUGGUGGAAAGUUUUUUCGGUUGGGGAUGGGCUCGCGGCCUAUCAGUUUGUUGGUGAGGUAAUGGCUCACCAAGACGACGACGGGUAGCCGGCCUGAGAGGGCGACCGGCCACACUGGGACUGAGACACGGCCCAGACUCCUACGGGAGGCAGCAGUGGGGAAUAUUGCACAAUGGGGGAAACCCUGAUGCAGCGACGCAGCGUGCGGGAUGACGGCCUUCGGGUUGUAAACCGCUUUCAGCAGGGAAGAAGCGCAAGUGACGGUACCUGCAGAAGAAGUACCGGCUAACUACGUGCCAGCAGCCGCGGUAAUACGUAGGGUACGAGCGUUGUCCGGAAUUAUUGGGCGUAAAGAGCUCGUAGGUGGUUGGUCACGUCUGCUGUGGAAACGCAACGCUUAACGUUGCGCGUGCAGUGGGUACGGGCUGACUAGAGUGCAGUAGGGGAGUCUGGAAUUCCUGGUGUAGCGGUGAAAUGCGCAGAUAUCAGGAGGAACACCGGUGGCGAAGGCGGGACUCUGGGCUGUAACUGACACUGAGGAGCGAAAGCAUGGGGAGCGAACAGGAUUAGAUACCCUGGUAGUCCAUGCCGUAAACGUUGGGCACUAGGUGUGGGGGGCAUUCCACGUUCUCCGCGCCGUAGCUAACGCAUUAAGUGCCCCGCCUGGGGAGUACGGUCGCAAGGCUAAAACUCAAAGGAAUUGACGGGGGCCCGCACAAGCGGCGGAGCAUGCGGAUUAAUUCGAUGCAACGCGAAGAACCUUACCAAGGCUUGGCAUACACCGGACCGUCCUGGAAACAGGUCUUCUUCUUUGAAGCUGGUGUACAGGUGGUGCAUGGUUGUCGUCAGCUCGUGUCGUGAGAUGUUGGGUUAAGUCCCGCAACGAGCGCAACCCUCGUUCUAUGUUGCCAGCACGUGAUGGUGGGAACUCAUAGGAGACUGCCGGGGUCAACUCGGAGGAAGGUGGGGAUGACGUCAAAUCAUCAUGCCCUUUAUGUCUUGGGCUUCACGCAUGCUACAAUGGCUGGUACAGAGAGAGGCGAACCCGUGAGGGCAAGCGAAUCCCUUAAGGCCAGUCUCAGUUCGGAUCGUAGUCUGCAAUUCGACUACGUGAAGUCGGAGUCGCUAGUAAUCGCAGAUCAGCAACGCUGCGGUGAAUACGUUCCCGGGCCU